GACGAACGCUGGCGGCGUGCUUAACACAUGCAAGUCGAACGAAGUGGCGAACGGGUGAGUAAUACGUGAGUAACCUGCCCUCCUUUUUGGGAUAAGCCUUGGCAACGGGGUCUAAUACCGAAUAAAGAGGGAUGGGCUCGCGGCCUAUCAGCUCGUUGGUGGGGUGGUGGGCUACCAAGGCGGUGACGGGUCGCCGGCCGGCGCGGGUGACCGGCUACAUUUGGACUGGGGUACGGCCCAGACUCAGACGGGAGGAAGCAGCGGGGGAUACUGGGCAAUGGUCGAAAGCCUGAUGCAGCGAGGCCGCGUAGGGGAUGACGGCUUUGGGGUUGAGAACGUCUUGCGCUAGCGAACGUGUAGGUGGAGAAGUAGCGCCGGCUAACUACGUGCCAGCAGCCGCGGUAAUUC
rnacentral:rRNA from 1 species